rnacentral:lncRNA from 1 species
AUGAGAGCUCUGCGAUCACCGGCGAUGCCAGCGUGUCUGCGGGUUGAGGGUGCAAGGCAGUGAUGAGGAGGAGGGUAUAAAUAAAUUGUUCGUAGCGGCCUCGGUACACGGUGCGUCGCUUAAUUUCUGGUGCCAAUGAUUUGGGGAGGCUCUUGCCUAAACGCUGACAAAACUUCAAAAAAACCGUUUCAGGGUCCCUUUAACAGUGAUCAUAAACAAGGCA